AUUGAACGCUGGCGGCAGGCCUAACACAUGCAAGUCGAACGAGUGGCGGACGGGUGAGUAAUGUCUGGGAACCUGCCUGAUGGCUGGGGAUAACUACUGGAAACGGUAGCUAAUACCGCAUACCAUCGGAUGUGCCCUGAUGGGAUUAGCUAGUAGGUGGGGUAAAGGCUCACCUAGGCGACGAUCCCUAGCUGGUCUGAGAGGAUGACCAGCCACACUGGAACUGAGACACGGUCCAGACUCCUACGGGAGGCAGCAGUGGGGAAUAUUGCACAAGGGGCGCAAGCCUGAUGCAGCAAUGCCGCGUGUAUGAAGAAGGCCUUCGGGUUGUAAAGUACUUUCAGCGGGGAGGCGUUACCCGCAGAAGAAGCACCGGCUAACUCCGUGCCAGCAGCCGCGGUAAUAC
rnacentral:rRNA from 1 species